GACGAACGCUGGCGGCAGGCCUAACACAUGCAAGUCGAACGAGUAUGGACCUAGCUUGCUAGGAACCCAGCUAGUGGCGCACGGGUGCGUAACGCGUGAGAACCUACCUAUUAGUAUGGAAUAGCCCAGGGAAACUUGGAUUAAUACCGUAUACGCCCUACGGGGGAAAGAUUUAUCGCUAAUAGAUGGGCUCGCGUUAGAUUAGCUUGUUGGUGAGGUAAUGGCUCACCAAGGCUACGAUCUAUAGCUGGUCUUAGAGGAUGAUCAGCCACACUGGGACUGAGACACGGCCCAGACUCCUACGGGAGGCAGCAGUGGGGAAUAUUGCACAAUGGGCGAAAGCCUGAUGCAGCCAUGCCGCGUGAGUGAUGAAGGCUUUCGGGUUGUAAAACUCUUUCAGCAGGGAAGAUAAUGACGGUACCUGCAAAAGAAGCACCGGCUAACUCCG
rnacentral:rRNA from 1 species